rnacentral:tRNA from 1 species
GUGGGUGUAGCUCAGUGGUAGAGCACUUGCCUAGCAUGUGUGAGGCCCUGGGUUCAGUGCCCAGUACCACA